AUUGAACGCUGGCGGCAGGCCUAACACAUGCAAGUCGAGCGGAUGAGGGGAGCUUGCUCCCUGAUUUAGCGGCGGACGGGUGAGUAAUGCCUAGGAAUCUGCCUGGUAGUGGGGGAUAACGUUCCGAAAGGAACGCUAAUACCGCAUACGUCCUACGGGAGAAAGCCGGGGACCUUCGGGCCUUGCGCUAUCAGAUGAGCCUAGGUCGGAUUAACUAGUUGGUGAGGUAAUGGCUCACCAAGGCGACGAUCCGUAACUGGUCUGAGAGGAUGAUCAGUCACACUGGAACUGUGACACGGUCGAGAUUCCUAAGGGAGGCAGCAGUGGGGAAUAUUGGACAAUGGGCGAAGGCCUGAGCCAGCCAUGCCGCGUGUGUGAAGAAGGUCUUCGGAUUGUAAAGCGCGUUAAGUUGGGAGGAAGGGCUGCUGCUUAAUACCCCGCAGAUUUGACGUUACCAGCAGAAUAAGCACCGGCUAACUUCGUG
rnacentral:rRNA from 1 species